UACAGAGGGUGCAAGCGUUGUUCGGAAUUAUUGGGCGUAAAGCGCGUGUAGGCGGCUUUGCAAGUCGGGUGUGAAAGCCCUCGGCUCAACCGAGGAAGUGCGCCCGAAACUGCAGAGCUUGAGUACCGGAGAGGGUGGCGGAAUUCCCCAAGUAGAGGUGAAAUGCGUAGAUAUCCGGAGGAACACCGGUGGCGAAGGCGGCUUCCUGGACCGACACUGACGCUGAGGCGCGAAAGCUAGGGGAGCAAACGGG
rnacentral:rRNA from 1 species